rnacentral:antisense_RNA from 1 species
CUUCAGCGACCCCAGCCACAUCGGCCGCCCCUCGGGCCGGUCCUGGCCGUACGUGGCCAGCAGGGCCUGUGCCUC